rnacentral:rRNA from 1 species
UACGUAGGUAGCAAGCGUUAUUCGGAUUUACUGGGCGUAAAGGGUCCGCAGGGGGUCUGCCAAGUCCGGCGUGAAAGCCCACGGCUCAACUGUGGAACGGCGUCGGAAACUGGCGGACUAGAGUGCAUGAGGGGUGAGCAGAAUUCCUGGUGUAGCGGUGGAAUGCGCAGAUAUCAGGAGGAAUACCGAUGGCGAAGGCGGCUCACUGGCGUGCAACUGACCCUCAGGGACGAAAGCGUGGGGAG